rnacentral:lncRNA from 10 species
AAAUCCCUAGCUUCAUUAUGCCUGCAGAAUAAGAUUUUUUAAAACUAUUCAAUUAAUUAUGUAAGAUCAGCAAUUACAUAAGACCUAGAGGUGACCAAGUGUUUUGACCUUCUACAAUAAGAUGCUCUAACCAACUCAUCUGAACAGAAAUCUGGCAUGCAGGACAGCAAUCAACAAAGUACGAACCCUAAUUUAGUGAAGACUGUAGGAAAAUAAUUA